rnacentral:rRNA from 1 species
GAGCGGAUGACGGGAGCUUGCUCCUUGAUUCAGCGGCGGACGGGUGAGUAAUGCCUAGGAAUCUGCCUGGUAGUGGGGGACAACGUUUCGAAAGGAACGCUAAUACCGCAUACGUCCUACGGGAGAAAGCAGGGGACCUUCGGGCCUUGCGCUAUCAGAUGAGCCUAGGUCGGAUUAGCUAGUUGGUGGGGUAAUGGCUCACCAAGGCGACGAUCCGUAACUGGUCUGAGAGGAUGAUCAGUCACACUGGAACUGAGACACGGUCCAGACUCCUACGGGAGGCAGCAGUGGGGAAUAUUGGACAAUGGGCAAAAGCCUGAUCCAGCCAUGCCGCGUGUGUGAAGAAGGUCUUCGGAUUGUAAAGCACUUUAAGUUGGGAGGAAGGGCAGUAAGCUAAUACCUUGCUGUUUUGACGUUACCGACAGAAUAAGCACCGGCUAACUCUGUG